ACAUUUAAAGGAGAUUUCUGAGCAGCUGCAGACCUCGCCAAGACCAUGCAGAUUCCACUGACUAUUCCCAUGCCUGUGCUCCAGCUGCUCAGGCUUGAAGGUGAAUCUGGAUUGGGAAAGUCGACAUUAAUCAACUCAUUAUUCCUCACAGAUUUGUAUUCUCCAGAGUAUCCAGGUCCUUCUCAUAGAAUUAAAAAGACUGUACAGGUGGAACAAUCCAAAGUUUUAAUCAAAGAAGGUGGUGUUCAGUUGCUGCUCACAAUAGUUGAUACCCCAGGAUUUGGAGAUGCAGUGGAUAAUAGUAAUUGCUGGCAGCCUGUUAUCGACUACAUUGAUAGUAAAUUUGAGGACUACCUAAAUGCAGAAUCACGAGUGAACAGACGUCAGAUGCCUGAUAACAGGGUGCAGUGUUGUUUAUACUUCAUUGCUCCUUCGGGACAUGGACUUAAACCAUUGGAUAUUGAGUUUAUGAAGCGUUUGCAUGAAAAAGUGAAUAUCAUCCCACUUAUUGCCAAAGCAGACACACUCACACCAGAGGAAUGCCAACAGUUUAAAAAACAGAUAAUGAAAGAAAUCCAAGAACAUAAAAUUAAAAUAUAUGAAUUUCCAGAAACAGAUGAUGAAGAAGAAAAUAAAC
rnacentral:sRNA from 1 species